rnacentral:rRNA from 1 species
GACGAAGGAUGCAAGCGUUAUCCGGAUUCAUUGGGUUUAAAGGGAGCGUAGGCGGCCCUGUAAGUCAGUGGUGAAAUCUCGCAGCUUAACUGCGAAAUUGCCAUUGAUACUGCAGGGCUUGAGUACAGUUGCUGUGGGCGGAAUAUGACAUGUAGUGGUGAAAUACAUAGAGAUGUCAUAGAACACCGAUUGCGAAGGCAGCUCACAAAACUGUAACUGACGCUGAGGCUCGAAAGUGCGGGGAUCAAAACAGG